AUUAAACGCAAUGAAGACCGCGAUUAUGUGCUAUUAAUUUGUACUAAGAAUAUUGGUUUUAAGUUUUUAUAUAUAUAACGUGUAGUCACUGAAAUUAUAGUUCGAAAUAUUGCUACAAUUUUAAUUUUUAUUAUAUCUACUCUAUGAUUAAAGAGCUUAACUUAACAAGGUUUGUGUCUGUCCUAUUUGAACCUUGCUACUUUCACUUUCGAUUUGAUCAGCAAUGAAAAAAAGUGUUACAGUGGUUGAGAAGAGGAUAAGUUUUCUGUUUCAAUUGCUAUAUUUUAGCUAGCCCACCUGUGCAUCACAUCAAAAGAUGUAGACAAAGAAAUGUGCAAACAUCAUGUGAGGAAUUUGAAGAGGAUAUCAAGAAAAAAUGUUAUUAGACUGCAUCCAGACAUAAAGAGGAGACUGUGCAAGCAUUGUGAUAUGCUACUUUAUCCUGGAAUCACUGCAAAAGUUAGACUUUCAAAAAAGCCACAAAGGGCUGUCACAGUUCAGUGCAUUGAAUGUAAAAAAGUGAGGAGGUUUCCUUGCACUAAUCCAGAUUACAAAAUAUGGAUAGAGAAAUUCCAAGAUCUUUCUCAAAAUGCUAGCCGAUUUGAAACUGGAAAUUACCUUCAUUAUACUGGAAAGGCCAAUUUACUUUGGCACUGAAUUAGCAAUGGGAGACAGUUGAGUGGAAAAGUGGGCCAUUCUAUUACAAGUCCCUGUUCAUACUGAUUUCAUAUACAUGCGCAUCUGCUGAAGACUUGACACAAUGUGUUCUGUUAAUUUAUUUGGACAUCAUAUUAUUUACAUGCAAGAUACAAAAAACAUUCCCUGCAAUUGUUGUAAUACAAAAUGAUCACAUUUCAUUUGGUACAUAUUAUAAUAGGUCAUUUACAUUUCAAAUUAUGUACUGUAUAUAAAUUUAAAUUCUAUAUUUACAAAAUAAAAUUGAUUUG
rnacentral:misc_RNA from 1 species